rnacentral:rRNA from 1 species
UACGUAGGGUGCAAGCGUUAAUCGGAAUUACUGGGCGUAAAGCGUGCGCAGGCGGUUAUGUAAGACAGAUGUGAAAUGCCCGGGCUUAACCUGGGAACUGCAUUUGUGACUGCAUGGCUAGAGUUUGGCAGAGGGGGGUAGAAUUCCACGGUGUAGCAGUGAAAUGCGUAGAUAUGUGGAGGAACACCGAUGGCGAAGGCAGCCCCCUGGGUCAAGCACUGACGCUCAUGCACGAAAGCGUGGGGAGCAAACAGG